rnacentral:rRNA from 1 species
CCUACGGGAGGCAGCAGUGAGGAAUAUUGGUCAAUGGACGAGAGUCUGAACCAGCCAAGUAGCGUGAAGGAUGACUGCCCUAUGGGUUGUAACUUCUUUUAUAAAGGAAUAAAACGAGGCUCGUCUGCCUUUUCGCAUGUACUUUAUGAAUAAGGAUCGGCUAACUCCGUGCCAGCAGCCGCGGUAAUACGGAGGAUCCGAGUGUUAUCCGGAUUUAUUGGGUUUAAAGGGAGCGUAGAUGGGUUGUUAAGUCAGUUGUGAAAGUUUGCGGCUCAACCGUAAAAUUGCAAUUGAUACUGGCAGUCUUGAGUACAGUUGAGGUAGGCGGAAUUCGUGGUGUAGCGGUGAAAUGCUUAGAUAUCACGAAGAACCCCGAUUGCGAAGGCAGCUUACUAAACUGUGACUGACAUUGAUGCUCGAAAGUGUGGGUAGCAAACAGGAUUAGAUACCCGAGUAGUC